UUGGAGGGCAAGUCUGGUGCCAGCAGCCGCGGUAAUUCCAGCUCCAAUAGCGUAUAUUAAAGUUGUUGCAGUUAAAAAGCUCGUAGUUGAAUUUCGGGAUUAGUACGUUGGUCGUGCCUUCGGUACGUACUGGUGUUACUGAUUCCUACCUUCUGACGAACUAUCAUGUCAUUAAUUUGGUGUGGUGGGGAAUCAGGACUGUUACUUUGAAAAAAUUAGAGUGUUUAAAGCAGGCUCGCGCUUGAAUACAUUAGCAUGGGAUAAUGAAAUAGGACGUUGACCCUAUUUUGUUGGUUUCUAGGAUUGACGUAAUGAUUAAUAGGGAUAGUUGGGGGCAUUAGUAUUCAAUUGUCAGAGGUGAAAUUCUUGGAUUUAUUGAAGACUAACUACUGCGAAAGCAUUUGCCAAGGAUGUUUGCAUUAAUCAAGAACGAAAGUUAGGGGAUCGAAGACGAUCAGAUACCGUCGUAGUCUUAACCAUAAACUACGCCGACUAGGGAUCGGAUGAUGUUAUUUUUAAUGACUCAUUCGGCGCCUUACGGGAAAC
rnacentral:rRNA from 1 species